ACAAUAAGUUACUAAGGGCUUAUGGUGGAUGCCUUGGCACUAAAAGGCGAUGAAGGACGUGUUAACCUGCGAUAAGCUUCGGGGAGGUGGUAAAAACCUGAGAUCCGGAGGUGUCCGAAUGGAGCAAUCUGGUAGCUUGCAAAAGUUACCAUUAAUUAAUGAAUUCAUAGUUAAUUAAAGCGAUACGUGGUGAAGUGAAACAUCUCAGUAACCACAGGAAAAGAAAACGAAUGUGAUUCCGUGUGUAGUGGCGAGCGAAAGCGGAACAGGCCAAACCUAUC
rnacentral:rRNA from 1 species